AGGAUAAACGCUGGCGGCGUGCUUCAGGCAUGCAAGUCGAACGGACACUUCGGUGUCAGUGGCGGACGGGUGAGUAACACGUAAGUAACCUGCCCAGAAGUGUGGAAUAACUAGCCGAAAGGCUGGCUAAUACCGCAUGUGAUGGUUGUUCUCUGGAGCAAUCAUGAAAGGCGAAAGUCGCUUCUGGAGGGGCUUGCGGCCGAUUAGCUAGUUGGUGGGGUAAAGGCCUACCAAGGCUUCGAUCGGUAGCUGGUCUGAGAGGACGGACAGCCACACGGGGGACUGAGAUACGGCCCCGACUCCUACGGGAGGCAGCAGCUAGGAAUCUUGGGAAUGGGCGAAAGCCUGACCCAGCAACGCCGCGUGGGCGAUGAAGGCCUUCGGGUCGUAAAGCCCUUUUGCAGGGGACGAUGAUGACGGUACCCUGCGAAUAAGCCACGGCUAACUACGUGCCAGCAGCCGC
rnacentral:rRNA from 1 species